CAAGGAUCUUGGUAGUUUGUUUGGCCCUCGCGGUCGUUGUGUGCGUCCAUGCCGCCCCAGGUUAUAAUAAAGGAAACAAUGGUGGCAGUUCACACAGUGGGGGUGGAGGUGGACUAGGUGGAGGUGCUGGCGGUGGUCAUGGUGGUGGAGGUGGAAUCGGUGGUGGCGGUGGUUUAGGCCACGGUAACGGCGGUGGAGGUGGAUUUGGAGGUGGAUUUGGAGGUGGAAAGGGAAGUGGCGGUGGAUUUGGAUUCGGUGGUGGCGGCGGUGGUUCUGGCGGUGGUCUUGGCGUGGGUGGCGGCGGUGGUGGCGGUGGCGCCGGAGGCCAUAAACAAAAAGGAGGAUACGGACGUUAAAUUUGACUAGAAAAUGGGAAAUUCCUUGGAAGUUCAACAAUACAAAUACAGCAAGCUCAUUGUGAUUUAAAAGUAUAGCAUUGUUUACAUAAAUCUUAGAUCGAAAGA